GGAUGACUGACUGCUCACCUGGUGGAGUGGAAGCUCAGAGUCUUAACCACUGGACCACCAGGGAAGUCCUUCCAUAGACCAGAAUUUGAGAUCAUCGAGAAGGAGAAAGACCUUGGAGCUGCUUUCAUUUCUUGCUAAAGCACAUCUCAUGGUGCUGGAACACAGUUCCUGCAGUAGGAUUGUCACAGGUGGCUCUGAAGAUUGAGCAAGUAUGAGGCUCCGCUGGAGGAGAAAGGAAGAUGCUAUGUGCCUGACGUUCUGGAGCACAGACUCGCAUUCUUCCCUUGGUGAAGUCAUGAAGGAUACAGAGUAGACUCGCAUUCUUCCCUCGGUGAAGUCAUGAAGGACACAGAGAAUGGUCUAUUUUCUGUCCUGCGGACAAUACAAACCGGCCCUGGGUUGGAAGGCUUCCUCUCCUGGCACUGCUCCUGUCAGACUCCGCUCCUGGAGCCCUCUCAGAAUUCAGCUUGCGUCCCCCUCCUGGGCUUCUUCCAGGCCGUGCUGCCUCCGGCUGUGGACCCUGCAUGUGCAUCCCCACUCUUGCAUUACCAGAAAGCCAUCCUGUCAUCUGCCCACAGCCUUACCAGCAUCUGUCUUCCUGUCCCAUCUGGAAAGUGGGACCAGUCACCGUUACCUCCUUGAGGAGGGAAAUCUGCUCUGAGCUACUGCAUGACUGAAA
ensembl:lncRNA